UGGCGGCUUUGGCGAAGGCCGAUCCUAGAGAAGUGUUUUCCGCGUUGGACCGUGUAUAAGUCUCUUGGAACAGAGCGUCAUAGAGGGUGAGAAUCCCGUCUUUGACACGGACUACCAAUGCUUUGUGAUACACUCUCAAAGAGUCGAGUUGUUUGGGAAUGCAGCUCAAAAUGGGUGGUAAAUUCCAUCUAAAGCUAAAUAUUGGCGAGAGACCGAUAGCGAACAAGUACCGUGAGGGAAAGAUGAAAAGCACUUUGGAAAGAGAGUUAAACAGUACGUGAAAUUGCUGAAAGGGAAACGAUUGAAGUCAGUCGCGUUAGCUAGAACUCAACCAGGCUUGCUUGGCGUAUUUUCUAGUUAACGGGCCAGCAUCAGUUUUGACUGCAGGAAAAAGGCCAGGGAAAUGUGGCACCUUCGGGUGUGUUAUAGUCUUUGGUCAUAUACUGCGAUUGGGACUGAGGUUCGCAGCACGCGCAAGCUGUGCUUAGGAUGCUGGCGUAAUGGCUUUAAACGACCCGU
rnacentral:rRNA from 2 species